GCGCCCGUAGCUCAGUUGGAUAGAGUACCUGGCUUCGAACCAGGUGGUCGGGAGUUCGAAUCUCUCCGGGCGCG
rnacentral:tRNA from 1 species